AGUGAACGCUGGCGGUAGGCCUAACACAUGCAAGUCGAACGGCAGCACAGUAAGAGCUUGCUCUUACGGGUGGCGAGUGGCGGACGGGUGAGGAAUACAUCGGAAUCUACUUUUUCGUGGGGGAUAACGUAGGGAAACUUACGCUAAUACCGCAUACGACCUACGGGUGAAAGCAGGGGAUCUUCGGACCUUGCGCGAUUGAAUGAGCCGAUGUCGGAUUAGCUAGUUGGCGGGGUAAAGGCCCACCAAGGCGACGAUCCGUAGCUGGUCUGAGAGGAUGGUCGGCCACACUGGAACUGGGACACGGUCCAGACUCCUACGGGAGGCAGCAGUGGGGAAUAUUGGACAAUGGGCGCAAGCCUGAUCCAGCCAUACCGCGUGGGUGAAGAAGGCCUUCGGGUUGUAAAGCCCUUUUGUUGGGAAAGAAAAGCAGCAGGUUAAUACCCCGCUGUUCUGACGGUACCCAAAGAAUAAGCACCGGCUAACUUCGUG
rnacentral:rRNA from 1 species